AGCAGCCGCGGUAAUUCCAGCUCCAAUAGCGUAUAUUAAAGUUGUUGCAGUUAAAAAGCUCGUAGUUGAAUUUCGGGAUCAAUACGUUGGUCGUGCUUCGGUACGUACUGGCGUAAUUGAUUUCUCCCUUCUGACGAACCAUGAUGUCAUUAACUUGGUGUCAUGGGAAAUCAGGACUGUUACUUUGAAAAAAUUAGAGUGUUUAAAGCAGGCUCACGCUUGAAUACAUUAGCAUGGAAUAAUGAAAUAGGACGUUCGAUCCUAUUUUGUUGGUUUUUAGGAUCAACGUAAUGAUUAAUAGGGAUAGUUGGGGGCAUUAGUAUUCAAUUGUCAGAGGUGAAAUUCUUGGAUUUAUUGAAGACUAACUACUGCGAAAGCAUUUGCCAAGGAUGUUUUCAUUAAUCAAGAACGAAAGUUAGGGGAUCGAAGACGAUCAGAUACCGUCGUAGUCUUAACCAUAAACUAUGCCGACUAGGGAUCGGAUGAUGUUAAUUUUUAAUGACUCAUUCGGCGCCUUACG
rnacentral:rRNA from 1 species